GAUGAACGCUGGCGGCGUGCCUAAUACAUGCAAGUCGAGCGAACGGACGAGAAGCUUGCUUUUCUGAUGUUAGCGGCGGACGGGUGAGUAACACGUGGAUAACCUACCUAUAAGACUGGGAUAACUUCGGGAAACCGGAGCUAAUACCGGAUAAUAUUGUGAACCGCAUGGUUCAAAAGUGAAAGACGGUCUUGCUGUCACUUAUAGAUGGAUCCGCGCUGCAUUAGCGAGUUGGUAAGGUAACGGCUUACCAAGGCAACGAUGCAUAGCGGACCUGAGAGGAUGAUCAGUCACACUGGAACUGAGACACGGUGCAGACUCCUACGGGAGGCAGCAGUGGGGAAUAUUGGACAAUGGGCGAAAGCCUGAUCGAGACAUGCCGCGUGGGUGAAGAAGGUCUUCGGAUUGUAAAGCACUUGAAGUUGGGAGGAAGGGCAGUAAGUUAAUACCUGGCUGUUGGGACGUUCCAACAGAAUAAGCAACGGCUAACUUCGUG
rnacentral:rRNA from 1 species